AUGGCGCUCAGCACCUGUAUCCUCCCUUCGUUCUCCCCGCAGGCCGCCGUCCUACGCCGUACGUCCACCGUCGCCAACGCCGCCGCAGCCCGGAUCGGCGGCUUCCUGUCCAGCAAGCCCUACGCGCCGCCGCCCUGGGCGUCGGGCCUCUCCCACGCCCCGUCCCACACCUUCUCCCUCGGCCACUUCCCGACCCCGAUCCACAGGUGGAGCCUGCCCGACCUGCCCAAGGGCACGGAGGUGUGGAUCAAGCGGGACGACCUCGCCGGCAUGCAGCUGAGCGGCAACAAGGCGCGGAAGCUCGAGUUCCUCGUGGCGGACGCCGCCGCGCGGGGCGCCGACUGCGUCGUCACCGCCGGCGGCAUCCAGAGCAACCACUGCCGGGCGACCGCCGUGGCCGCCAAGUACGCCGGCCUCGACUCCUAUCUGAUACUCUGCACCUCCAGGCUCCUCGUGGACCAGGACCCCGGUCUCGUCGGCAACCUGCUCGUCGAGAGGCUGCUGGGCGCGCACGUCGACCUGGUCUCGCAGAGAGAAUUUUUGAAGUUCGGGAGCGUGGCUCUGACUGAACUGCUGAAGAAGAGGCUCCUGGAAGAAGGCCGGCGGCCGUACGUGAUCCCUGCCGGCGGAUCAAACGCACUGGGGAAUUGGGGAUACAUCGAAGCAGUCAGGGAGAUUGAGCAGCAAAUUCAGUUAUCCGGGGGCGAUGUUCAGUUCAACGACAUUGUCGUCGCGUGCGGCAGCGGCGGGACCGUCGCCGGCCUCGCUUUGGGGUCGCAGCUGAGUGGCCUGAAGGCCAAAGUCCACGCCUUCUCUGUCUGCUAUGGCCCUAAAUACUUCUAUGACUGUGUUCAGGGUCUGAUCGAUGAGCUUCAGUCUGGUCUAAACUCACAUGAUAUAGUCAGCAUUGAAGAUGCCAAGGGCUUGGGUUAUGCCAAGAGCACGGGUGAUGAACUUAGAUUUGUGAAGGAUGUCGCUGCGGCAACAGGCAUCGUGCUCGAUCCGGUCUACACCGGGAAGGUGGCAUACUGUAUGGUGAAGAACAUGUCAGAUAAUCCAGGCAGGUGGGAAGGGCGAAGGGUCCUCUUUGUGCACACCGGUGGUCUCCUUGGGUUGUAUGAUAAGGUGGAUCAGUUGUCGUCUUUGGCCGGGGGCUGGCGCAGAAUGGACCUUGAAGAACCUGUGCUCCAUGCAAAUUUCAACUAG
rnacentral:rRNA from 1 species